GUCAGCAGCAGAAGAAGAGAAACUCCCAUCACUUUCAGCACCAACAUGUUCUCUGUAGCUCUGCUGUUACUGCUGGCUGCUGCAUCCUGUGUGAAGUGUGAGCAGCUGACACAGCCAGCCUCUGUGACUCUGCAGCCAGGUCAACGUCUGACCAUCAGCUGUCAGGUCUCUUAUUCUCUGGGCAGCUACUGGACAGCUUGGAUCAGACAGCCUGCUGGGAAAGGACUGGAGUGGAUUGGGAUGAAACAUGGUGUUGGAGCUUCAUACUACAAAGAUUCACUGCAGAACAAAUUCAGUAUCGACUUAGACACUUCCAGUAAAACAGUGACUCUGAAUGGACAGAAUAUGCAGCCUGAAGACUCUGCUGUGUAUUACUGUGCCAGACGGGACACAGUGACACAAAGAGGCUACAACGCUCUACAAAAACUCCCAAUCUGA